CCUUCUCCACGACACGAUGCGUGUUUAUGAUUGUUAAUGAUGAAGAAUGCCCUUAUGCUAUUUAUGAAUUUGGAAAUGUUUAAUGAGCAAAGGAUAUGAAAGAAACUCAUGCCUCUUAUGCGAUAUUGUGAAAUUGUUAAUGAUGUUAUGUUAUAUGCUUGGCAACUGCCCACUAAGUACUCUUGUACUUAGCCCUUCGAUGUUUAUGUUUGUGCAGGUUGAGCUGUGAUGGGCGAUGAAGUGUUGUUGCUGAGUAGAGUUUUUGUCGAAUUUAAAGUAGGCUCAGAAAGGAUACAUGUCUUCAUACAUGUAUCUCAGUUAUGCAUUCCGCUGUAAACACUGAUUAUUUCAGUUACACCUUCCGUUGCAAACUCUGAUAAUGUUUUAGCCAAGCCCCUAAAAAUGCCUUUUUCCUUUUAAGGAAUAUAACGCGUAUACAAGUUCUUUGAGUACCCUUUUUAUGCGAACUAUGCAUUUUCCCUUUUUAAGGAAUAUUUCACGCGUAUUCAAGCUCUUUGAGUAUUCUUUUAUGCACCCCUUUCUAAACCCGCUUCUUAUUUUCCCUUCCCCAGUCAUGGUUUUCCCGGAUUAAUUAUCCUUAAUUAAGGCCGGUCGUGACAGAGUGGUAUCAGAGCAGUUCAUUUGCUCUGAGCCUAAGAGUUUAUUUAAGCCAAACUUAGAAUGGAUCAAUAAAGUGUCUAGAGUUCAAUCAACAAAGCUCAGCACUUCAUCGCAUCACACUCAACGAAGCAGAAUGGUAAACUCUUCCAAGCUUGAGUUAAUGUUUACAAAAAGUGAGAAUUAUCGUAAUAGCAAAAAUGCCGCCUAAGAGAGGACGCCCUGCGAGAAACAAUAACAAUCGCAGAAACCGUAACGCUGUACCCGAAGAACCACAAGAUGCUCGAGGACAUAACCCAUCCCUCCGCCCCCAACUAGGAGAGUCGAAGAACUCUUUUUAAGGCAAAAUCCGCCUACGUUUGACGGAACGAGUGAACCAGCUGAAGCUGAGAUUUGGGUGCGUGCAAAUGAACGCAUCUUCAACUUUCUACAUUGUACUGAUGAGGAGCGCCUAUCUUGCGUCUCAUUCCAGCUAACAUGAUCAGCGGAUUUCUGGUGGGAAACACGACGAAAAAUUCUGACACCUGAACAAUGGGCAAGUUAUACUUGGGAAGAUUUUAAGACAGGAUUAUAUGAUAAAUAUAUUCCGAAAAGCUAUAGGAAGAAGAAAGAAGUUAAGUUCUACGAGUUGAAGCAAGGAAAGAAAUCUGUGGUUGAAUAAAACAAGGAAUUUCACCUUGCCCAAAUUGUGGUAAGAUGCAUAGGGGUGUCUGUCGUGCCGGGACUAACGGUUGUUACAAUUGUGGCCAAAAGGGUCACUACUCCACGCAAUGCCCCAACAAACAACGAGGUUCAACAAUUGAGAACAGCCACACCCCCUUGCCAGCAAUACGUGGACACUUGCGAAAUCAGUUUCAAUCACAUCAGUGAAAAUCUUAUGGAGGCACCGCAGAUAUAAAAAAAAAAUUACGUGGGAGUUUGAAGACAAAAUGAAAGAGAAGUACCCGGAUUGUUUUAACAGAGAUAUGCAAAUUUCGGGACGAAAUUUUUGUUAAGAGGGGUAGUAUGUAGUAGCCCGCUCUUUUAUUUAUGAUAAAAACUAGUAAAUGCAAUUUUUAUAAAUGAAUCCAGUUUAUGGUCCUGAUUUUUUUUUUUUAUCAGAGACGGAGUUAUUAUUUUAGCUUUAUACUUUUAUAACGUAUAAGAAAAACGCGACGAGGAUUAUUGAGCCAUUCAAUAAUUUAUUAUCCAGUUUGAUAACUGACUUAGCAAAGUCAAGUUAUUAAUUUAUAUGCGAUAGAAAUAGUAUUUCUAUUAUUUACUUGAAGUCGUCAUUAGUUUUCGACUUAUAAAACGAAUUAUAAAAUAUGUAAUUCGUAGAGAGUUAUAACGAAGCGUCAUUAUUUAGUAGAACCCAAUAUUAGUUUUACAAAUACUUGUAACUUCAAUACUUUACAAAUCAUUAUUUUUCCACUCCCUAAUGUUUCCUACACUAUACACGCAUAAUCUCCACUUCUCCACUCCACCAACUAUCUCCAUCACCUUUUGCUUUCUUCCACUACAUUUUUUCUCACCACCCUUUCCACUCCACUAAUUCCACUACACCAAACUUUCCACCUACUCCCUUCCCCACCACACGCAAGAAUGCAUCUAACAUUCCAUUAUACAGGCAACAAUCUUUUCAUCAUCUUCAUUCUUCACUAAGGAACCGAAGAGCAGCCACGAGUUCUGCCAUAAGCACACUGCUCCGGCAGUGUUUUGCAAGGCGAUUCCAGCCAUCCAAAAGGUCUGGGCGACAGAAAGUGAAGCCGAAGAAGAAACGACUCCACGCCAGCUUUAAGAACAAUUGAGGUUGAGCUGUGAUGGGCGAUGAAGUGUUGUUGCUGAGUAGAGUUUUUGUCGAAUUUAAAGUAGGCUCAGAAAGGAUACAUGUCUUCAUACAUGUAUCUCAGUUAUGCAUUCCGCUGUAAACACUGAUUAUUUCAGUUACACCUUCCGUUGCAAACUCUGAUAAUGUUUUAGCCAAGCCCCUAAAAAUGCCUUUUUCCUUUUAAGGAAUAUAACGCGUAUACAAGUUCUUUGA